rnacentral:lncRNA from 1 species
GUAAGGACGUCAUGUGCUUCAUCUCUCACCUGGAUCACUACAGUAGUUUCCUAACCGGUUUCCCUGCUUCCACCCUCGCCGUCCUGUCUGUUCCCAACCCAGCAGCUGGAGUGAUCCCAUUCAGAUGUGAGUCAGAGCACGCCACUCCUCUGCUCUCACACUCUCUGACCUCAUUUACCUCCACUCUGUCCACACCCUCAGUCCAGCCAGACUCACUGUUCCUCCAACAUACUAGGUCUGCUCCUGCCUCAGGGUCUCUGCUCAGGCUGUUCCCUCUGCCUGGAAGGAAUUCCCGGGGAUGUCCACCUGCCGCUGUCUUACAUCCGCUGAGUCACUGCUUCAUACAGGCUCUUCUGGUCACUCCAUCUAACCCCUCCCACCUCUCCUUAGCCCCUUUCCUUUCUGACAUAAGAUAUAAUCUAGUUGUUUAUUUUUGUUGUCUAUCUUCUACUAGAAUGUAAGCUCCAUAUAAAGACAGAGAUUUUUGUUUGUUCACUGCCUGGCACAUAGUAGGAACAUACUAAGUGUUUGUUGAAAGAAUGACCUCGUGAGGUAGGUACUAUUAUUAAUAAGCACAUUCUAUAGAAGGUAAAACUUGGACUCACCAGUGUAAAGCAACUGCCCAAGAUCACAUGGUGAAGUGAAAGAGCAAGUGUUGAACCCAGUCAUGUCUGUUCAAAAGCCUGUGCUCAUCAACACGUCACUGGAAUAUGCUCUUCCUCUUGCUGCGAGCUGCUGAGCUCAGUAGGAGGAAACUGUUUCUCACGUCAGCCUUUCCUUCUGGUUAACCAGACCACUAGGCUUUCAGCUGGCCUUCCUGAGCUGCGAGCACAGAGGAAAGGCCAUGUGAGCACAGAGCGAGAAGGUAGCUGUCUGCCACCCAAGAGGAGAAGUCUUACCAGACAUCAACCCAAGGUGCUGCUGGCGCCUUCAUCCUUGACUUCCAGUCGCUAGAACUGUGAGAAAAUAAAUGUCCG